rnacentral:rRNA from 1 species
GACGGGGGAUGCAAGCGUUAUCAGGAAUCACUGGGCGUAAAACGUCUGUAGGUGGUGAUGCAAGUCACUGGUGCAAAACUCUGGCUCAACCGGAGGAAAGCCAGUGAAACUGCAUGACUAGAGUGUGUGCGAGGUAGGAGGAAUUUCCUGAGUAGAGGUGAAAUGCGUAGAUACAGGGAGGAACACCGGAGGCGAAAGCGUUCUACUGGAAGACAACUGACACUGAGAGGCGAAGACUAGGGAAGCGUAUAAG